rnacentral:rRNA from 1 species
GUGGGGAAUAUUGGGCAAUGGGGGAAACCCUGACCCAGCAACGCCGCGUGAAGGAAGAAGGUUUUCGGAUCGUAAACUUCUAUCCUUGGUGAAGAUAAUGACGGUAGCCAAGAAGGAAGCCCCGGCUAACUACGUGCCAGCAGCCGCGGUAAUACGUAGGGGGCAAGCGUUGUCCGGAAUGAUUGGGCGUAAAGGGCGCGUAGGCGGCCUGGUAAGUCUGGAGUGAAAGUCCUGCUUUUAAGGUGGGAAUUGCUUUGGAUACUGUCGGGCUUGAGUGCAGGAGAGGUAAGCGGAAUUCCCGGUGUAGCGGUGAAAUGCGUAGAGAUCGGGAGGAACACCAGUGGCGAAGGCGGCUUACUGGACUGUAACUGACGCUGAGGCGCGAAAGUGUGGGGAGCAAACAGGAUUAGAUACCCCAGUAGUCC